CCUGGAUGCUUGCAUCCAGGGGUUGUAGGACUGAUGUUGAGUUACAAAGGUAUAAGAUAGCAGAAACAGUUGGGAAGCUGUUCCAAAGAGGGUGACAGGCCCGUAUGCGAAAUCUUGUACUCUCUAAUCAGGAUCCUGAGUACGGCCCAGCACGUGAAAUUGGGUCGGAAUCUGGGAGGACCAUCUCCCAAGGCUAAAUACUAACUAGUGACCGAUAGCGAACAAGUACCGUGAGGGAAAGGUGAAA
rnacentral:rRNA from 1 species